AGCAGGGGGGGCGUGCUAAUACAUGCAAGUCGAGCGGACAGAAGGGAGCUUGCUCCCGGAUGUUAGCGGCGGACGGGUGAGUAACACGUGGGUAACCUGCCUGUAAGACUGGGAUAACUCCGGGAAACCGGAGCUAAUACCGGAUAGUUCCUUGAACCGCAUGGUUCAAGGAUGAAAGACGGUUUCGGCUGUCACUUACAGAUGGACCCGCGGCGCAUUAGCUAGUUGGUGAGGUAACGGCUCACCAAGGCGACGAUGCGUAGCCGACCUGAGAGGGUGAUCGGCCACACUGGGACUGAGACACGGCCCAGACUCCUACGGGAGGCAGCAGUAGGGAAUCUUCCGCAAUGGACGAAAGUCUGACGGAGCAACGCCGCGUGAGUGAUGAAGGUUUUCGGAUCGUAAAGCUCUGUUGUUAGGGAAGAACAAGUGCAAGAGUAACUGCUUGCACCUUGACGGUACCUAACCAGAAAGCCACGGCUAACUACGUGCCAGCAGCCGCGGUAAUACGUAGGUGGCAAGCGUUGUCCGGAAUUAUUGGGCGUAAAGGGCUCGCAGGCGGUUUCUUAAGUCUGAUGUGAAAGCCCCCGGCUCAACCGGGGAGGGUCAUUGGAAACUGGGAAACUUGAGUGCAGAAGAGGAGAGUGGAAUUCCACGUGUAGCGGUGAAAUGCGUAGAGAUGUGGAGGAACACCAGUGGCGAAGGCGACUCUCUGGUCUGUAACUGACGCUGAGGAGCGAAAGCGUGGGGAGCGAACAGGAUUAGAUACCCUGGUAGUCCACGCCGUAAACGAUGAGUGCUAAGUGUUAGGGGGUUUCCGCCCCUUAGUGCUGCAGCUAACGCAUUAAGCACUCCGCCUGGGGGAGUACGGUCGCAAGACUGAACUCAAAGGAAUUGACGGGGGCCCGCACAAGCGGUGUAGCAUGUGAUUUAAUUCGAAGCAACGCGAAGACUUACAUGUCGUGACAUGCUCUGACAACCUAAAGAUAGGGUCUUUCCUUCGGGGACGGAAUGAGCAGAUGUGCAUGCUGUCGUCAGCUCAUGUCCAUGAAAAUGUUAGGUUAAGUUACCAGCAACAGCGCAACAUUGAAUCGUUGAGUUGUCAGGCAUUCA
rnacentral:rRNA from 1 species